UGCCAACUCUACACUUUUGAUAUCUACAAAAGUGGUGUGAGGUAACCAUCUCUGUAGGCACACCAAAAUUGUGGGUUCACUGAUAAGAGAUUCCUUAGCCGCCGUCGAAAAUGAGAAUUCUUUUGCGCAAAUUGGAUGCCAUUAUUCCCUUCACCAGAAUUCCUCAUUCUUGUUCGGCAACAAGAGCAUAUUCUUCAUUCCAUAAUAAUAAUAAUAAUAAUAAUACAGUACAGGGUAAAGUUGGGGAGAGUAGCAAUUUGGAGGUUGAUCAAGGUAUUUUUGAAGUUGGGAAGGGCGAUGCAAAAAAAAAUUAUGGCGAAGUGCUAUCUGUCGGGAUCUUACCUAAUUUAUACGCAGAUGGCACUUUGUCUAAUGGUUAUUACAGAUUGUGGAAAAAUUAUCAACUCGACGAAGCUCAUACUGAGUGCAACAGAGUUAGUGAAAUGACAAUUGUCAUGAAGGAAAUGGACAGAUGGGGCUACUCAUUAUAUGCAACUAAAGCCGUGUUAUUGGCAAACGUUAUAAGGGAGGAUCCUCUCUUCCUUGAUAUGAUGGUAGAGAAGAGUAGAAGAGAACUGACUCACGCUAUCAACGAUAAAUCAUUUUUACACUUUUAUUGAGCUCAUAGGUGAAUUGGACGCAAUAUGUUUGUCUGGUUUCAUUGGUACUAGAUGAUGGUGGGGGCUUUACGAGUUAUCGCAAUAUUCGUUUGGAUGGUUGGUAGAAAGUAAUGUUAAUUCCAUUCAGAAAGUAAUGUUAUCAAAACCCCAAGCUAUACAAGUAAUUCCAGUCAGAAUGUAAUGUUAUCAAAACCCCAAGCUAUACGAGUGAGAGAAACGGUGACCUCACAGGCUCAGGGAGUAAAUAGAGCAACUCGCUAGCAGAGGAUUUAAGAAGUGUAUCAUGUCUACUGGAGAUUAGUGUAUACAAUGGAGUCUCAAAUAGUGAAUCGUUAUAUUCUUUUGCAAAGUAUCUUUCUUUAUGGGGUUGCGGAGGCUAAAUUGGUUUAUAUGAGCAGCCUUGUAGGUAUUGAGAAGGAAAUUUCUGCUUUUACAAUCGGAGGUAUGUCUAGAUCUUCAUUCUGAUAUCUGUUCUUGAAAGUGCAUAAUAUGUUUUUUUUUGGGUAGAAAAUGAAUUUUAUUUAUUUUUCAAGGAGCCACUCCUGCUGGCUCAGUCGUUACAAAAGCCGUAGCAUCUAUAGUAUUUACAACCCGAUCAGUGCUAGGAAUAGGAGCAUUCAUAGCUAUUAUAUUACAUAUAGCUGAGUGAUCUGACAAGGUCUUCACUCUUCUAGGUAUUAAAUCUCCCCGUUUGUCGGAACUCAAAAUAUCCCUUAGGAUGAUGGAGAUUCCCAAAAAAGCACCAUUGAUGCCGAGGAGGUGCCAUCAAAACCAGUAGUAGUAGAUACUAGGGCGUCUGCUAGUCUAUUUUAUUCCCUAUAUACAUAGCAAACCUAAACCUGGGGAUUAUGCACUUAGUGGAGAAGACACCUGCAAUCAAAGAAGAUUGGUGAAUUUUGGCAUGAUGUCUCAUCUGUUAAGUAAAGUACAAGUUGAAGUGAAUCCACAUUUGUUUCCAUUGGAAUCAAAUGAUAAUCGCGUGCUAGUUUAAGACCUAAGCACAGAGCCUCAGCUUCGGCCUCAAGGGCUUUUGAGCUAUAGGUCAUUCUUCUAAAUCAAGGACCAAUCCCCCAUCCAAUUUCUAAACACCCCUCCUAUAGUUGAAAGCCCUGUAGUAGCAUCGAAAGAACAAUCCGUAUAGUUAAUGACUUGGUGGGUUUUGGAUUUGAUGUCAGAAACCAAAAUCAUCCUGCAAGUUGGGAGAUAUUUAAUAUUGUAGGACUGAAAGGAUGGCCCUGAAAGAUGAAUUUGUUUACCCGAAUCGACCACAAAAAAAAAGGUAAGAAUAUUUUUGUUGUAACAUGAUAAAUGUGGCCCCUUGGAAUUUUCCUUUUCAUUAACAUGAUAAAGGUAAGAAUUUUCCUUUUCAUUUACAGGCAGCGAAUUCAUUUACAAGAUCUUACUUAGGCUGGGCUAAGCCACUCAGCAAGCCAGACCUAUAUAAUAAUACCGGAUAAAGCCUUAGUCGAAAUAUCGAACCGAAGGCAUCGAUCGAAAUAUAAAAGAACUUUAAAUAAUUUAAUGACUGCAUGGAAUCUUUUUACCCAAACAAGGGGCCUGUCAGAUAAUUUAAUAGACUUAUAUUAAACCCAUGUGUGUAGGAGUUCUGUGCUAAAGACAACCCUCAUCUUCAAAAGGGCUUUAAGGGGCACAGCUUUCUAGGCGUAGUCACAGAGACAAAGCUAAUAUAAGUCAUAUUAAACUCGAUUUACCAUCAUUUUGGAACCAACCCAAAAAGCUAUAAAAUUCUUUAGAGUCUGAAUCUUUCAUAGUUAUCUUAUAAAUGAUAUUAGUCUUUCAACAUAGGGAUAAGAGGCUUUUUUAGCCGGACAUAGUCACGGAUGGGAUAGAAGUUGUAUUAAAUGUAUAAAAAUAAAAGAAAGAUUAAGUAAUUUACUUGUGGCCGAGUGCAAGGCCGGAACAGUAGACAAACAGUGGCUAUUCGCCUUUUAUUGAACUUCGGAAUUUAUACAAGAGGAAGAGAGAAGGGAGAGCAGGGUAACUUAGAGAGAAAGAGAAAAUAGAAAAAUGAAAAACUUCUUCCUCCCCUAUACAAAUGAGGCGGCUAUUUAUAAUAUAAAAGAGAAUUUUGCACAGUAUUAUGCAUAGUGUUUUUACUGUUUAUGGGUCCCUUGUGUCCCUCAUAAAAAACAAGCAUAGUAAAGGCAUAAUUAUAUAAACAAGCAUAGUAAAAUUGGCCAUGGGGCCUGACGUCGAUUUUAGUUUUUUCUUUUUGGCUGGGACCCACCUGGUCACAUCUUGUCUUUUCCUUUAGAUUUAUACAGGAAUGCUUCUGCUUGGGCUAUUUCUUUAUCAUCUAGAAUUUUUUCUGGUGGAAGUGAUUGAGACUCUUGAAUAUCUUCAGCUUCAUGGCUUGAAAGACUUUUCAUUGACGUGUCUGAACUUUCUGCUACAGUCUUUAGCAAUUUAUUCCGGACUUCAGCCAAGUAUUUUUCGAUCAGUUCCAUUUUAUCUCCUUCAUGAACAGAAAUUCUUCUGGAAAUAUAAUUCAGAUUUUGAUCUUCUACAACAUCUUUUGGUGGGGUAGUGGUAAUAUCAAGCAGUUCUUGACCAUGUAGGAUUUUUGUCACAGGGUCUUUUCUAGUUAAUUUAUCCCAAAACUUAGUAUAAAAUACCCUAUACAGACCAGGUAUCUGUUCUUUGGUAUAACCAAAUUCAAUACUCCAUUGGUGUAUCCAUGAAAUAGAAAAUUCAAUAAAGAAAUACAUUUGAUCAAUUUUGUCUAUGUUACAAACAUGAUCGGAGUGAUAUAGUUUUGUUAAAUCAGGUGAGAAUUCUUUCCAGAUUUGGUAUAAAUGCAAAUAUUCUUCAGGCAGGACUUGGGUAGAAGGGCCAUGAUAGGACCACCAUUGAAUGAACCAAUUUGGUAUUGGGUCUUCAAAAACCCUAGCACAGACGUUUACGAACCAAGUGUGUUUAUGCUUUAUAUUAUUGUAGUAAAAAAUUUUUUCAAAAGCUUUUACAUAAUCCAAUAGGUGAAAGCAAUCCUUGAUUCUCUCAUGGUCAUGUGUUUUUUUGCCAUGGAAGUUGUUCCCCAUUCUUCGAUUGAAAGAAGUUUUUUAAUUAUUAUUUUAGAGUACCCGUGAACAUGCAUGGUAGGAGUUAAUUCUUAUAAGUGAAAUAUGGUUUUUAUCCAUCCAAGCUUGCCGUAUGGGAAACCCACAUUGUUUCCAUUCAAAACGACUUAUUAUGGAUGAGAAUAGGAGGACUUAAUUGCAGAAGCAAAGGACAAUGGUCUGCAUGUAUGCGAGACAGAUGCUUGACACAUGCAUUAGGGAAAAGAUUAAGCCAAGUUGAGUUAGCAUUUAGCCGUCCGAGUCUCUCCAGAAUCAUCCCACCAUGCCUUCUAAGGUUUGUCCAAGUGUAUUUACUCCCGCUAAAACCAAGAUCAAUCAUGCCACAAUAGUUAAGGCAAUCUAGGAAUCUAUCAACUCUAGAGUAACAGAGACCCUGACCUCCAAUUUUUUCCGCGGAGCUAGUAAACUCAUUGAAAUCACCUCCCAAGAGCCAGGGCUCGUUAUGAGAGUUAGAAAUUCUUAUAAGAAUUUCCUAUAGGGACAACCUAUUGGCUAGGUUAUUACGAGCAUAAAUAGCCGAAAAUAACUAAAAAGUGGUGAAAGGAUUUACCUAGACAGUGCAGUGAAUUUCUUGUGGAGUAAGAGCAACGUUAGUAACGUGGAGAAGGUCUGCAUGCCACAGGAUGGCAAUGCCACCUGAGUGACCCUCAGUUGGAACAACUAUGAUAUUGGAAAAGUUGAACUCUUGGGGCAUACUUUGAUGAUUGCCUCUAUGAGUUUAAAGAAGUACAACUAAAGCAGGCUUAUAGUCAUUUAGGAGUUGUCUACAGCUAUUUUUAAAUUCCGAGGAAUGAGAACCCCUACAAUUCCAUAUAAGAAAAUUCACGGGUAAAUAGAAUAUGAGAGAACUUGUUGUGAGGGAGCCCGACAGUUUACUGUCCCUUAUCGAGGGACUCAUUGUUACAUCUUAUUUCCCCACAUCUGGGUUUAGCGUCGGUCUCACGUGGACUGAGCACUUGAACAUAUUUAUGGGACAGUUUACGGUUAUUCUUUUGCACAGUGCUCUUUGAGGAGGAAUACUCAUACCUGACCCAUGUACGACGUUGUCACUUCUGUAUCUUGCUUCUCUCCUGUUUGGUCGUCUAAGGCUGCAUUCCCUCAUUUCUCCAUCUCCCCGUCUUGGUUCGUGGUCAUUUGAUUCAACGGGAGCACAAUGUUCAUAUUUGAUUCAACUGGUUGGGUGUUGCUGCCCAUCGUUAGAGGAUUUAAUUUGUUCAAGAGGUGGAACAGAGGUUUGGGUUUGUGGUGGAUGUGAAGUCCCUUGAAAGGGCAAUUGAGGGGAGAGAGGGGCAUUAUAUAGAGGUGAAGAGAGGUGUAAAGGUGAAAAAAGGGACGAUUUAUUAAUGGAAGUGGAGGUUUGCCCUGCCUCAGAAGAGUUGUGAUUAGGAGUGCACUGGAAAUUCCUAUCAGGAUUGGUAUAAAAAGUGUCGCACGAAGAUUCGUUGUUAGAAAUAGACUUUGAACAAAGGGGAUUGGUCGAAGCCAGAGUAUUGUCAUCCUUACUUAUCGAGAGGCAAGCAAACUUGGACUGACUAAUGUAAUCGGAUGUGUCCAUUCCUGAUUUGCUUGAAUAAUUUGAGUCCAAGAACCUACCUGAGUGCGCCUAUAGUAAUUAGAAGUGGCUGUCUCCGAUUCAAUAGAUUUUUUGAGGUCAGAAGACUUACCUGACCUUUCCUGCUUGGUUGUUUUGUGUUCAUUCGCGGUAUCCAUUGUCAAGAAUUUACCUUUAGGCAGUUGACUUUCAUGUAAAUGGUUACCAGCUCUUGUUCUUGUAGGCAGCUUCUGAGUUAAUCGUGCAGGGAAUUGCACUUGCUUCCAUCCCUCUGUUGAAUCUUUGCCUUUUGGCGAAUCUGCGUGGUCGGAAAGGUUGACAGGAUUAUGGGUACAUUUAGAUGAUGUAUGACCCAGUCUGCCAUAGUUGGUGCAUGAUAAAUUUGCACUUUCGUAAAGGAUCAGUUGCCUGUGUGUGCCUAUAUAUAUAUAUAUGGAAUUGUAGCGGUUGUUCCAAAGGCACUUGGAUACAUAGCCUGGCAUACCUACCCCGUGAUGUAGAUGGGGUUGUGGGGUCUAUUUUCAGGAGGGUGCCAAUUUUGCUUCCUUACCUUGAGAAGAAUAUCCAAAUCGUAGAAUUCCUUUGGUAGUUCCGGCAUUCUAAUCCAUGUCAGAAUAAGCAAUACGUGCUUGUGAUGCAUUGAAUUUAGGUUCCCACUUUUGAACUGAUAAGAAACUGUUUAGCAAAAACCAUGGGCCUUCGUGAAGGGCAUGGUUCAUGUUUCUUCUUGCUUGAACUUAAUCAAGAAAAAGUCCGCACCUAGAUCUAUUAGGGGUAUCUCUUCUGAUGGACGCCAUAGGUUGUUGAGCUUCUCCUUUAGCAGUUGAUGCCCCACUCUUCGUCCUACUAGCUUAACCAUGACGGAGUAUUUCCACGGCGAGUAGAGUCGAUUCUUAUCAACUUUGGUUAUUGGGAUAAAGUUAUCAAGACUUUGCAGAGGUGUGGUUUCAUCCCGCAAGUCCAGUUCCUUGGUUGGAAGGGAGUUGGUGUACUGAACAGUAGGUAGAAGGGUAUUUAGCAGUAGUUUAUCUUUAAAGGAUGUAUUUACAGGAUCUUCCAAUUGCAUAUGUUCAUCAGUAGUUGCUGGUUUAGUAGCCAUCUGAUAUUGAUUACACUAUCACAUAUCGUUGACAAUAUUUCAUGGUUUGAUAAGAUGAUGUUUUGGAUGUGAUAUUUGUUGAAAGUGCAUAAUAUAUGUUCAUGAGAUAACAGAAUUUUUUGUGAUUUUAGAGCUUAUGUAACUUUUCAUUUAUAUCACUCUCUUUUACUUGUGUCUCGUCACAUGAUAAUACAUCAAUAAGUGAUAGUUAGUUCUUUCUUUCAUGGGACAGGGAAAAAAACUUGUUGCUGAAAUAGAAAUGACUGGAAAACUAAUAGGGUGGGUCUCGAGCACCAUUCUUGGGGGCUCAAUUAGAAGUUGUAAUUUAUCGUGUUGCUUCAGUAACAACUGAGUACCUCAGAUACUAUAUCGUUUGAAACUCUUGAGUCAUCUGCUUUUCUCUCUGCAUUUUUAGACAGCUACAAAAUUUCUAGAACGUCAAAUUCGCAAGCUUAAAGAUCAAAUAACCAUCUUGCAAAGUAGUCGGGCUCAAAUGAGAGGUAUAGCGACUCAUUUGCAGGUAAUAUCUGCCCAAUCUUCGAUUGCUGCAGACAUGAAAAGAGCAGCUAAAGCUAUGAAUAAGAUUCGAUGUCCAAAGAUCUUGACAUCUAAUUUAAAAUUUUCCAUUUGUUUGUCUGAGAGAAUGAAUUAUAUAAUUUGGUAACUAGAAUGAAUUAUCUAUAACUCAAUUAUAUGGUGUUCGUGUUUGUAGAUUGAAAUGAAUUCCGACGCCAUAGAUGAUCUUAUAGAUAAUGACAAAGUGGAAGAGGAAACUAAAGAUUUGACAAAUCAGAAAAUGGACCCUUCAAAGCACGUGAAGGUGAUGCAAGAUUUCCCGAGGCAAUCAGCUCAAUUAGAUAUGAAGGUACCCCCUUCAGCUACUAGUUAGUCCAGCACUGGUUCAUAUUACAGGGAGCAGAACAGACUAGUUGAUAGCCUAGCAAAAAGAGCCAUCCCUACUGCACAAGCAUCCGUUUCAACUACUGCAAAUCCAGCAAUGGAUACUACUAUGUUUUGGUCUCCUCCACAAGAUCUGUUGAUCGAUCAUUUUGGAUGCUGAUGAAAGCGGAGAUUUUGUUACUAGGCGUGUUAGGACUUUAGGAGUUUUACCACACAUUACAUCUGUAAAUAUUCCUACUAGCGCUAUGUUUAUUGAUAACGGAUGGUUUGUAAAUAUUGCACAAUGUGUAGAUACUACAGCAAACUAGCAAUAAUUUACGUUUCCUCAUCUUCUCAAA